CUCUAUCAAUCAUGAUGCUCUAUUGAGGGUCCUGUGUAGGUUUGGCUGUCCACAGAAAUUCAUUUCCAUCAUCAGACUACUCCAUGAUGGGAUGACUGCUGCCAUUUUGCGCAUUUCUUCAUCACUGCUAUAUGCUAGGUAUUUUAUCCCUCUGAAACGACCACCCCAGCAACAGAAGGAACAAUAAUAUAACCAUACUGAAGCGCUGUACUCCAGUGAUAAGUGUAAUUCAACCUUCACAAUAAAACAGAAUUAUCACUAAAACUACAAUUUAUAGUAAAGGAUGAAGGAGCAGUUCACCUCCACUUCAAUCUGCUUUCGUCGCCCAGAAGACUGUUUCAUGUGGCACUAGGCCAGUCUUCAUAAUCCUGAACUUAUGAUUUACUCAAAAUCAUGC